rnacentral:rRNA from 1 species
GAUGAACGCUGGCGGCGUGCCUAAUACAUGCAAGUCGAGCGAACGGACGAGAAGCUUGCUUCUCUGAUGUUAGCGGCGGACGGGUGAGUAACACGUGGAUAACCUACCUAUAAGACUGGGAUAACUUCGGGAAACCGUAGCUAAUACCGGAUAAUAUUUUGAACCGCAUGGUUCAAAAGUGAAAGACGGUCUUGCUGUCACUUAUAGAUGGAUCCGCGCUGCAUUAGCUAGUUGGUAAGGUAACGGCUUACCAAGGCAACGAUGCAUAGCCGACCUGAGAGGGCGAUCGGCCACACUGGAACUGAGACACGGUCCCGAAUACUAAGGGAGGCAGCCGUAGGGAAUCUUCCGCCAUGGGCGAAAGCCUUACGGAGGAAACCCGGCUGAGUGAUGAAGGUUCUCGGAUCGUAAAACUCUGUUAUUAGGGAAGAGCAAAUGUUUUAGUAAACGUGAACAUCUUGACGGUACCUAAUCAGAAAGCCACGGCUAACUACGUG